ACGGGUGAGUAACGCGUGGGAACGUACCCUUUACUACGGAAUAACGCAGGGAAACUUGUGCUAAUACCGUAUGUGCCCUUUGGGGGAAAGAUUUAUCGGUAAAGGAUCGGCCCGCGUUGGAUUAGCUAGUUGGUGGGGUAAAGGCCUACCAAGGCGACGAUCCAUAGCUGGUCUGAGAGGAUGAUCAGCCACAUUGGGACUGAGACACGGCCCAAACUCCUACGGGAGGCAGCAGUGGGGAAUAUUGGACAAUGGGCGCAAGCCUGAUCCAGCCAUGCCGCGUGAGUGAUGAAGGCCCUAGGGUUGUAAAGCUCUUUCACCGGAGAAGAUAAUGACGGUAUCCGGAGAAGAAGCCCCGGCUAACUUCGUGCCAGCAGCCGCGGUAAUACGAAGGGGGCUAGCGUUGUUCGGAAUUACUGGGCGUAAAGCGCACGUAGGCGGAUCGAUCAGUCAGGGGUGAAAUCCCAGGGCUCAACCCUGGAACUGCCUUUGAUACUGUCGAUCUGGAGUAUGGAAGAGGUGAGUGGAAUUCCGAGUGUAGAGGUGAAAUUCGUAGA
rnacentral:rRNA from 9 species